UAGGAAGGGGGCGAGCGUUGUUCGGAAUUACUGGGCGUAAAGGGCGCGCAGGCGGCUCAGACAGUCAGAUGUGAAAGCCCCGGGCUUAACCUGGGAACUGCAUUUGAUACUACUGAGCUUGAGUACGGGAGAGGAUAGUGGAAUUCCCAGUGUAGAGGUGAAAUUCGUAGAUAUUGGGAAGAACACCGGUGGCGAAGGCGGCUAUCUGGACCGUAACUGACGCUGAGGCGCGAAAGCGUGGGGAGCAAACAGG
rnacentral:rRNA from 1 species